rnacentral:rRNA from 1 species
CAGUCGCCGCGGUAAUACGGAGGGUGCAAGCGUUAAUCGGAAUUACUGGGCGUAAAGCGUGCGUAGGCGGUUCGUUAAGUCUGUUGUGAAAGCCCCGGGCUCAACCUGGGAAUGGCAAUGGAUACUGGCGAGCUAGAGUGUGUCAGAGGAUGGUGGAAUUCCCGGUGUAGCGGUGAAAUGCGUAGAGAUCGGGAGGAACAUCAGUGGCGAAGGCGGCCAUCUGGGACAACACUGACGCUGAGGCACGAAAGCGUGGGGAGCAAACAGGAUUAGAUACCCCCGUAGUCCCUGUCUCUUAUAA